UACGUAGGGUGCAAGCGUUGUCCGGAAUUAUUGGGCGUAAAGAGCUCGUAGGCGGUCUGUCGCGUCUGCUGUGAAAAUCCAGGGCUCAACCCUGGACCUGCAGUGGGUACGGGCAGACUAGAGUGCGGUAGGGGAGAUCGGAAUUCCAGGUGUAGCGGUGAAAUGCGUAGAUAUCUGGAGGAACACCGGUGGCGAAGGCGGCAUCCUGGACCGACACUGACGCUGAGGAGCGAAAGCCAGGGGAGCAAACGGG
rnacentral:rRNA from 1 species